rnacentral:tRNA from 1 species
UGGCUCAGCAGUAAAGAACCUGCCUGCAAUGCAGGAGACACAGGUUCAAUGCCUGU